rnacentral:rRNA from 1 species
CCUACGGGUGGCAGCAGUGGGGAAUAUUGCACAAUGGGGGAAACCCUGAAGCAGCGACGCCGCGUGAAGGAUGAAGUAUUUAGGUAUGUAAACUUCUAUUUGCAGGGAAGAAAAUGACGGUACCUGACUAAGAAGCCCCGGCUAACUACGUGCCAGCAGCCGCGGCAAUACGUAGGGGGCAAGGGUUAUCCGGAUUUACUGGGUGUUAAGGGGGCGUAGAGGGUAUGGCAAGUCUGAUGUGAAAACCCGGGGGCUAACCCCGGGACAGCAUGGGAAACUGCCGGACUAGAGUGUCGGAGAGGCAAGUGGAAUGCGUAGUGUAGCGGUGAAAUGCGUAGAUAUUAGGCGGAACACCAGUGGCGAAGGCAGCUUGCUGGACGCUGACUGACGUUGAGGCACGAAAGCGUGGGGAGCGAACAGGAUUAGAUACCCGUGUAGUC